AGAGUUUGAUCAUGGCUCAGGACGAACGCUGGCGGCGUGCUUAACACAUGCAAGUCGAACGAAAAGGCCCCUUCGGGGGUACUCGAGUGGCGAACGGGUGAGUAACACGUGGGUGAUCUGCCCUGCACUUUGGGAUAAGCCUGGGAAACUGGGUCUAAUACCGAAUAGGACCGCAUGCUUCAUGGUGUGUGGUGGAAAGCUUUUGCGGUGUGGGAUGGGCCCGCGGCCUAUCAGCUUGUUGGUGGGGUAAUGGCCUACCAAGGCGACGACGGGUAGCCGGCCUGAGAGGGUGUCCGGCCACACUGGGACUGAGAUACGGCCCAGACUCCUACGGGAGGCAGCAGUGGGGAAUAUUGCACAAUGGGCGCAAGCCUGAUGCAGCGACGCCGCGUGGGGGAUGACGGCCUUCGGGUUGUAAACCUCUUUCAGUAUCGGCGAAGCUCCAGGAUUUUUCUUGGGGUGACGGUAGGUACAGAAGAAGCACCGGCCAACUACGUGCCAGCAGCCGCGGUAAUACGUAGGGUGCGAGCGUUGUCCGGAAUUACUGGGCGUAAAGAGCUCGUAGGUGGUUUGUCACGUUGUCUGUGAAAACUCACAGCUUAACUGUGGGCGUGCGGGCGAUACGGGCAGACUGGAGUACUGUAGGGGAGACUGGAAUUCCUGGUGUAGCGGUGGAAUGCGCAGAUAUCAGGAGGAACACCGGUGGCGAAGGCGGGUCUCCGGGCAGUAACUGACGCUGAGGAGCGAAAGCGUGGGGAGCGAACAGGAUUAGAUACCCUGGUAGUCCAA
rnacentral:rRNA from 1 species